CAUUCCUUACUGGCUUGCUUC
rnacentral:misc_RNA from 1 species